rnacentral:rRNA from 1 species
CGAUAAAGCGGGUGAAAAGCCCGCUCGCCGGAAGACCAAGGGUUCCUGUCCAACGUUAAUCGGGGCAGGGUGAGUCGACCCCUAAGGCGAGGCCGAAAGGCGUAGUCGAUGGGAAACAGGUUAAUAUUCCUGUACUUGGUGUUACUGCGAAGGGGGGACGGAGAAGGCUAUGUUGGCCGGGCGACGGUUGUCCCGGUUUAAGCGUGUAGGCUGGUUUUCCAGGCAAAUCCGGAAAAUCAAGGCUGAGGCGUGAUGACGAGGCACUACGGUGCUGAAGCAACAAAUGCCCUGCUUCCAGGAAAAGCCUCUAAGCAUCAGGUAACAUCAAAUCGUACCCCAAACCGACACAGGUGGUCAGGUAGAGAAUACCAAGGCGCUUGAGAGAACUCGGGUGAAGGAACUAGGCAAAAUGGUGCCGUAACUUCGGGAGAAGGCACGCUGAUAUGUAGGUGAAGCGACUUGCUCGUGGAGCUGAAAUCAGUCGAAGAUACCAGCUGGCUGCAACUGUUUAUUAAAAACACAGCACUGUGCAAACACGAAAGUGGACGUAUACGGUGUGACGCCUGCCCGGUGCCGGAAGGUUAAUUGAUGGGGUCAGCGCAAGCGAAGCUCUUGAUCGAAGCCCCGGUAAACGGCGGCCGUAACUAUAACGGUCCUAAGGUAGCGAAAUUCCUUGUCGGGUAAGUUCCGACCUGCACGAAUGGCGUAAUGAUGGCCAGGCUGUCUCCACCCGAGACUCAGUGAAAUUGAACUCGCUGUGAAGAUGCAGUGUACCCGCGGCAAGACGGAAAGACCCCGUGAACCUUUACUAUAGCUUGACACUGAACAUUGAGCCUUGAUGUGUAGGAUAGGUGGGAGGCUUUGAAGUGUGGACGCCAGUCUGCAUGGAGCCGACCUUGAAAUACCACCCUUUAAUGUUUGAUGUUCUAACGUUGACCCGUAAUCCGGGUUGCGGACAGUGUCUGGUGGGUAGUUUGACUGGGGCGGUCUCCUCCUAAAGAGUAACGGAGGAGCACGAAGGUUGGCUAAUCCUGGUCGGACAUCAGGAGGUUAGUGCAAUGGCAUAAGCCAGCUUGACUGCGAGCGUGACGGCGCGAGCAGGUGCGAAAGCAGGUCAUAGUGAUCCGGUGGUUCUGAAUGGAAGGGCCAUCGCUCAACGGAUAAAAGGUACUCCGGGGAUAACAGGCUGAUACCGCCCAAGAGUUCAUAUCGACGGCGGUGUUUGGCACCUCGAUGUCGGCUCAUCACAUCCUGGGGCUGAAGUAGGUCCCAAGGGUAUGGCUGUUCGCCAUUUAAAGUGGUACGCGAGCUGGGUUUAGAACGUCGUGAGACAGUUCGGUCCCUAUCUGCCGUGGGCGCUGGAGAACUGAGGGGGGCUGCUCCUAGUACGAGAGGACCGGAGUGGACGCAUCACUGGUGUUCGGGUUGUCAUGCCAAUGGCACUGCCCGGUAGCUAAAUGCGGAAGAGAUAAGUGCUGAAAGCAUCUAAGCACGAAACUUGCCCCGAGAUGAGUUCUCCCUGACUCCUUGAGAGUCCUGAAGGAACGUUGAAGACGA